GUUCUCACUUCAGCAGCACAUAUACUGACAUUGCAAGGAUAGAGAGAAGAUUAGCGUGGCCCCUGCACAAGGAUAACAUGCAACCUCAUGAAGCGUUCACUAUUUUU
ensembl:snRNA U6 U6 spliceosomal RNA